GAUGAACGCUGGCGGCGUGCCUAAUACAUGCAAGUCGAGCGAACAGACGAGGAGCUUGCUCCUCUGAUGUUAGCGGCGGACGGGUGAGUAACACGUGGAUAACCUACCUAUAAGACUGGGAUAACUUCGGGAAACCGGAGCUAAUACCGGAUGACAUGUUGAACCGCAUGGUUCAACAGUGAAAGACGGUCUUGCUGUCACUUAUAGAUGGAUCCGCGCCGCAUUAGCUAGUUGGUAAGGUAACGGCUUACCAAGGCAACGAUGCGUAGCCGACCUGAGAGGGUGAUCGGCCACACUGGAACUGAGACACGGUCCAGACUCCUACGGGAGGCAGCAGUAGGGAAUCUUCCGCAAUGGGCGAAAGCCUGACGGAGCAACGCCGCGUGAGUGAAGAAGGUCUUCGGAUCGUAAAACUCUGUUAUUAGGGAAGAACAAAUGUGUAAGUAACUAUGCACGUCUUGACGGUACCUAAUCAGAAAGCCACGGCUAACUACGUG
rnacentral:rRNA from 1 species